ensembl:Y_RNA Y_RNA Y RNA
GGCGGGUGGGAAGGUAGUGAGUCAUCUCGAUGUCAGCUACAGAUGGACCACUUGGUCCUACCCCGUACCCUUCUCACUGCAGCACCUGACUGGCCUUCA